UUCUAGCCCGGAUGGAAGUGGAAAUCCUUUUUGCCUAAGCAAAAAGAUUGCAGCGGACAGCCGGAAACAAU
rnacentral:sRNA from 1 species